CCGAAUACAUUUAGCAUGGGGAUAAUGGGAAUAGGACCCUGUCCCUCCUAUUUCCAGUUNGGUUCUUGGCAGCGCGAGGACUAGGGUAAUGAUUAAUAGGGAUAGUUCGGGGGCAUUAAUAUUUAAUUCGUCAGAGGUGAAAUUCUUGGAUUUAUGAAAGAUUAACUUCUGCGAAAGCAUCUGCCAAGGAUGUUUUCAUUAAUCAAGAACGAAAGUUAGGGGAUCGAAGACGAUCAGAUACCGUCGUAGUCUUAACCAUAAACGAUGCCGACCAGCGAUUAGGAGACGUUGAAUACAAAACACCACCAUCGGUGCGGUCGUCCUUGGCGUCGGUCCUUCACGGGGCCGGCGCGGGGACGGCUUAGCCCGGUGGCACCGGUGAAUGACUCCCCUANCCUGGGGGGGAGAAAAAA
rnacentral:rRNA from 1 species